rnacentral:piRNA from 1 species
UUUGAAGUCCGAAGAUACAUU